AUCGAACGCUGGCGGCAGGCUUAACACAUGCAAGUCGAACGAGUGGCGGCCGGGUGAGUCAUGCUUGGGCAUCUGGCUUAUGGUGGGGGUUAACGACGGGAAACUGUCGCUAAUCCCGCCUACCAUAGAAUCAGCCCAAGUGGGAUUAGGUAGUUGGUGGGGUAAUGGCCUACCAAGCCGACGAUCUCUAGCUGGUCUGAGAGGGUGACCGGCGACACGGGGACUGAGAGACGGCCCGGACUCCUACGGGAGGCAGCAGUGGGGAAUAUUGGGCAAUGGGCGCAAGCCUGACGGAGCCAUGCCGCGUGAAUGAAGAAGGCCUUCGGGUUGUAAAGUUCUUUCGGUAUUGAGGCGGUAAAUACAGAAGAAGCACCGGCUAACUCCGUGCCAGCAGCCGCGGUAAUUC
rnacentral:rRNA from 1 species